rnacentral:rRNA from 1 species
AGAGUUUGAUCAUGGCUCAGAUUGAACGCUGGCGGCAUGCUUUACACAUGCAAGUCGAACGGCAGCACGGGGGCAACCCUGGUGGCGAGUGGCGAACGGGUGAGUAACACAUCGGAACGUGUCCAGUUGUGGGGGGAUAACCCAUCGAAAGGUGGGCUAAUACCGCAUGAUCUGGCAACAGCAAAGCAGGGGACCGCAAGGCCUUGUGCGAUUGGAGCGGCCGAUGUCCGAUUAGCUAGUUGGUGGGGUAAAGGCCCACCAAGGCGACGAUCGGUAGCUGGUCUGAGAGGAUGAUCAGCCACACUGGGACUGAGACACGGCCCAGACUCCUACGGGAGGCAGCAGUGGGGAAUUUUGGACAAUGGGGGCAACCCUGAUCCAGCCAUGCCGCGUGAGUGAAGAAGGCCUUCGGGUUGUAAAGCUCUUUCGGUGGGAACGAAACGGUUACGGCUAACACCUGUGACUAAUGACGGUACUCACAGAAGAAGCAUCGGCUAACUACGUGCCAGCAGCCGCGGUAAUACGUAGGGUGCGAGCGUUAAUCGGAAUUACUGGGCGUAAAGCGUGCGCAGGCGGUUACUUAAGUCAGGUGUGAAAGCCCUGGGCUUAACCUAGGAAUUGCGCUUGAGACUGGGUAGCUUGGAGUGUGGCAGAGGGAGGUGGAAUUCCACGUGUAGCAGUGAAAUGCGUAGAGAUGUGGAGGAACACCGAUGGCGAAGGCAGCCUCCUGGGCCAGCACUGACGCUCAUGCACGAAAGCGUGGGGAGCAAACAGGAUUAGAUACCCUAGUAGUCC